rnacentral:rRNA from 1 species
AGAGUUUGAUCAUGGCUCAGAAUCAACGCUGGCGGCGUGCCUAACACAUGCAAGUCGCACGAGAAAGGGGAGCAAUCCCUGAGUAAAGUGGCGCACGGGUGAGUAACACGUGAAUAAUCUACCUCCGAGUGGGGAAUAACUGAGAGAAAUCUUAGCUAAUACCGCGUAACACUUACGAGUCAAAGCAGCAAUGCGCUUGGAGAGGAGUUCGCGGCCGAUUAGUUAGUUGGCGGGGUAAUGGCCCACCAAGACGAUGAUCGGUAUCCGGCCUGAGAGGGCGCACGGACACACUGGAACUGAAACACGGUCCAGACUCCUACGGGAGGCAGCAGUGGGGAAUUUUGCGCAAUGGGGGAAACCCUGACGCAGCAACGCCGCGUGGAGGAUGAAAUAUCUUGGUAUGUAAACUCCUUUCGAUGGGGAAGAUUAUGACGGUACCCAUAGAAGAAGCCCCGGCUAACUUCGUGCCAGCAGCCGCGGUAAUACGAGGGGGGCAAGCGUUGUUCGGAUUUAUUGGGCGUAAAGGGUGCGUAGGCGGUUUGGCAAGUCUGAUGUGAAAUCUAUGGGCUCAACCCAUAGUCUGCAUCAGAAACUGCCGGGCUUGAGUAUGGGAGAGGUGAGUGGAAUUUCCGGUGUAGCGGUGAAAUGCGUAGAUAUCGGAAGGAACACCUGUGGCGAAAGCGGCUCACUGGACCAUAACUGACGCUGAUGCACGAAAGCUAGGGGAGCAAACAGGAUUAGAUACCCUAGUAGUCC